rnacentral:rRNA from 1 species
AUGGCAAAGUGCCUCGCUGUCGCGCUACUGCUACUGGUGGUGCUCGCGCACUGCGACGGGAGGGAGCUGAAUGAGAAGGACCGCGCACUUGCAGCGAUACGCGGUGCCGGUGCUGGCGUCGGCGAGUCGAAGAUUUUGGGGCUGCCAGACUUGCCGGUUGUGGGAACCACUACCGGUACCAGUACCAUUAACGGCCCGCUGGUGGUGAUUCCGGGGAUCCCUGCUCACCCAUGA